rnacentral:lncRNA from 1 species
GGAGCAGCCCUAGAAAAGGCAAAAAAAAAAAAAAAAAAAAAAAUUUAGCAGAUUUCUGUGUAUUCGGCAACUUUACCAAAAUUGAUAAGCUGUUGACCUCUGAUAGUUUUCUGGUAAUAUCUUUAGAAUUUUCUGUGUAAUAGCAUCAUCUGCAAACAGUGGGUUUUACUUCUUUUCCAAUUUGGAUUCCUGUUAUUUCUUUAUUUUUUCUUCUCUGAUUGCCAUGGCUAGGACUUCCAAAACUAUGUUGAAUAAAAGUGGCAAGAGUGGGCAUCCUUGUUUUGUUUCUGAUCUUAGAGGAAAUGCUUUCAGCUUUUCACCAUUGAGAAUAAUGCCAGUUUGUUAUAUAUGCCCUUUAUUAUGUUGAGGUAGCUUCCCUCUAUGCUCACUUUCUGAAAACUUUUUAUCAUAGAUAGAAGUUUAAUUUUAGCAAAACUUUUUCUGCAUUUAUUGAGAUGAUCAUAUGAUUUUUGUUCUUCAACUUGUUUAUGUGCUGUAUCAUAUUGAUUGAUAUUUGGAUAUUGAAAAAUCCUUCCAUCCCUGGGAUAAGUCCCACUUGAUCAUGGUGUAUGAUCCUUUUAAUGUAUUGUUGGAAUCAGUUUGCUAAUAUUUUAUUAAGUAUUUUUGCAUCUAUGCGCAUCAGUAAUAUUCAUCAGUAAUUUUCUUUGUUUGUGGUAUCUUUGCCUGGUUUUGGUAUCAGGGUGAUGGUAACCUCAUAGAAUGGAUUCGGAAGUGUUCCUUCCUCUGCAAUUUUUUGGGAUGGUUUCAGAAGGAUAGUUGUUAGGACAGGCUAGUCUUAAAGUGUUGCUUGGAAUGACUAACUCAGCUAAGUGAGUUUUUGGCAAAAGAUAUAAAAGGAAAUUUGUACAAAGGAGAGGCAUUGUGGAGUACAACAGUGGAAGGAGCUCAGCCUUUAGAGUCAAAUAGGCCUAGGUUUACAUAAUGACUGCUCUAUUUAAUAAUUAUAGGUUUGGGCAAAAUGAAUUAACGACUGCUGGUUUCAGUUUUCCUAUCUACAAAAUAGGAUAAUAACAUCCACUCUAUAGUAUUGUUGUUGGGUUUAAAUGAGGAAAAUUAUCUAUAGCAUUUAGUCCAAGUGCCCAAUACACAGUGGGCAUUUAAUAGAUGAAACUUUAUUUCCUUCCCUCCAUAGAAUUCACUCCUUUUCAUGAAGUCUGCCUACUUCUGCUACCCAAGGGGUUACUGUUAAGGCUGCUUAUAGAACUAAAAUUUUAUUUUUCUGUGAGAAAGCCAAUUUUUAAAUAUUGGACCAAUUCCAUUAUGUGCUGCCUUACUCAAUGUUAAGUACGAUCAGCUGGAAGGAACCAACUUAACUGAGUUCUACCCAAGGAUGACAGCAGUGGUUCUGUGCAGAAUGGUGCAUGGCAGUAACAUACAGGAGAUAAUUGGUUACAGGCAUUCACUGAGUGGUGAGACAACCUAAUAUUCAGGUAUUCCUAAAGAGUCCUAAGAAUUGUGCUUUCCCUAAUAUAUCAGUAUUAAUGUGAAGAGUAACGUGCUUCAAAAGAUGUGCUGGUGGCAUAUAAAUCCAUGGCAGGAGAGAGUCAACCAUCUCAGAGUCUACCCUCUGGUGUUACAGGGGCUCCUGGACAAAGGUGAAGAUCCUAAUAGCAAGUGAUUAACCUUCACGAUGACAGACUCUUUCAUACCUUUCAAAGCAACUGUAGUUAGCAGUAGUAUAUUCUGAAUAAAAAGAUGGUAUGUGCACAUAGACACCCUGCCUUUGUGUGCAUAUACAAAUAACACCUUUGAACACACACACGAGGCAGAAGCCACGUGUAAAUUAAUACGUGAUUACAAAAAAGAUCCAAAGAGGCCUUCAGUAAAGUAAUAGCAAUAAAAGGGAAAAUAAAACUGUAAAAGGAAAGGGAAAAAUAACAUACUAAAAGUAGAGUUUCUUUUUUAAUGGCCACGUCUGCAGCAUAUAGGAGUUUCCAGGCUAGGAGUCGAAGCAGAGCUGCAGCUGCAGGCCUAUGCUGUAGCCAUAGCAAUCCCAGAUCCUUAACCACUGACUCAGGCCAAGCCAAGUAUCGAACCUGACUCCUCACAGACACUAGUCUGUCAUUAUAAAGGAUAAUGGUCACCACCGAGCCACAAUGGGAACUCCCCAAAGUAGAGUUUUAAGUCACAUGAACCAAAGAUUUCAGUUAUCUAGAAGUUAUUUUCCUGAAACCUCAGCAACAUGGAAUAUAGCCAAGAACAAGGCAGUAAAGCAACACGAUGCCUCUUAGGAACCAGUAUAAAUAUCACACAGUUCUCAGAAAAACUGAUUCUAUUUUCCAAGCCUUUAAUUACCUAAGGAAUUUUUUUCCCCCAAGUUUUCCUGCCUUCAGAAAUUAGACGAAUUCACCUACAAAAAGUUUUCUGUGACAUAAUGAUUUCAGCAAAAACUAAUAAGUCUGAUAAGAUGGAAGGAGUUGGAAAAAUUAUAACAAGCAAAAUAAAACAAAACAAAAACACCCAGUAGCCACAGACUGUGGCACAUAGCAUGUGGAAUGAGCAUUAAGGGCUUUGCCAGUUUACAGCAUAGUGUAAUAAUUAUUGUUAGUAAUGACGGCUCUGAGUUAUUUAGACACAGUUUAGAUCAUGGUCAAGAUACUCUUUAAGAAAGGAAACAGUAUAUAAGACUGUUACAUUUCACAAAGAUAUCCUUUUUAAUUUGUGAAAGUAAGAAAACAUGGCGCUUCAAGGAUAAAUGUCAAAUAGCUAAAAUUUUACUUAUGUGAAACAAUGUUGUGAGGCUUUGUGAGGAUUUACAAUGCAUUUAUGGACUAUGGAGGUAAAGUGUGCUUCAGGCAGUAUGGUGCACGUUAGAAUCUUGGAAUCUUGAUUGUCUCAUCAGUCACCUUGGCCUCUGUGCUUCGGUCAGGCUAGCCUGGCAAUUGACUGUCCAUGGGGAUGGACUGUGCUUAUACUUGGUCUCAUAGAAAAGCAGAAUGGAAGCAACACAGUGGCAGUAACACUAACAUUAGUAGUGGUAGCAGCAGCAUCAAUUACUAUUUAAUGAGCCGCAUUCUCCCCACUGUCUCUUUCAAGCCACCAGGGUACCAUUUUGUGCAACAGAGUGGUAAAUCACAUGGUUCUCGACUGGGUUGAAAGAGUAACUGCAUCUCCCCCGGAAUUCAACACAUUACCUGAGAGUGAGGAAAGCUUUGGGGAGAAUAAAGGCCAUUUAGGGCCCCCAAGGUGUAAGACAUUGCCAAAAGUACCACCAUUUCCCCAUUAUUCUGUAGGACGAAAUGGAUCUCAGCCGUCAAGAAGAGGUGGUCCAGUGGCACUUGAUGUUCAUUCUCUCCUACAGGGAAAAAACCAAUACACUAUCAGUUUCAGAAAAUUGUGGGUGGUUAGAAAAUCUUUUGCCCUGAUUCCAGUUAUUAAUUUAGUUGGGAUUUAUUCCCAGUCUCCUUCCAAAUAUUUUAAGUAGUUUUGCAUGAAGGACACUAG